rnacentral:lncRNA from 1 species
UUCACUAACUGGCGUGGCUAUUACAACUACUGCUAGCUGAUCCAUUCAAAGACCGGGAUUCCUGACCUUACUACUCUUAUUGAUAUUGAACUACCCAAGACCCCUCGCUGCACCAUCUGUUGUCCGCUGCUUGGCUUGCUAUCGGGCUAUGCUUGCCGCCGAAAACCGAACCGAUUGGCCCAUCCCUUUCCUGCCAACGACUGCUGCUCCUGGAAUUGUUCGUCGUGCUACUGGAUUAACGUUUCAACGUGUUUUUCGGGGAACUGAGAUACGUAUUCUUAUUUGACUUGAAAUGAGUUUCUCAGU